rnacentral:sRNA from 1 species
ACACUGUCAGGGCUAGCCUGCCUGCUUACGCGCGCUGCGGAUUGUUGCUCCGUUGUACCUGCUGGGGAAUUCACCUCGUUACUGCUUGAUAUCUUCCACCCCUUACAAAAUCAGAAAAGUUCUGUUUUCUAAUACCAAAGAGGAGGUUUGGCUUUCUGUGGGUGAUUCCCAGACACUGAAGUGCAAAGAAGAGGCCCUCCUAGAAAAGUAAAAUAUGACUAAAAGCAAUGGAGAAGAGCCCAAGAUGGGGGGCAGGAUGGAGAGAUUCCAGCAGGGAGUCCGUAAACGCACACUUUUGGCCAAGAAGAAAGUGCAGAACAUUACAAAGGAGGAUGUUAAAAGUUACCUGUUUCGGAAUGCUUUUGUGCUGCUCACAGUCACCGCUGUCAUUGUGGAUGAAAAAACUGAAACCCAAAUCCUUAUCACACAGCUGAUGAAUACUGAGUGGGAUUCAAAUCCACCAUUCCGGCUCUAGGUGCUCAUUCACCACACUGUUCUGGGUGCUAUAACACCCAUUCUGGCUUUACUCCAGCAAUUUGCUGAGGGUCUGCCUGAGGU